UGAUUCAAGUUUAAUUAUUACGAAACGCUUUACGAAUAAGACACUUGACUCUUAUCUUUCUCAGAAUAAAGUAUUUAUGAUCUAGCAUCACAGCUAACAAGAAUUUUACGGUCUUAUUUUUUAUCGCAAUUAUUGUUUAAGCAAAUGGACAUGAAGGAUCAUGAGAAAACCAGGAGAGUUGGUCAUAUAAUCCUACUGGCAACAAACUUGUCGCAUUAUCCAUUGCAUCACGUUCGGCAACCAGGCGUUAGUUUCCAGGAGAAGGACAUUAGGUUCGAGAGAGCUAAGAGGGUUGACAACGGGCACGAGUCAGGCAGUAGACUAACGAGGAGAAGUCAGCGAUGUAAACCCCGGGGAAGGUGCGAGAGGUACCACUGUUGGAUCUUCUCAUUAAGCUUUUCACGAAACUUUAGAACUUCUGGAUGUUAGGGAGCCCAGUCAAAAUGCAGCCUCAUUCUACCGUGUAA